rnacentral:misc_RNA from 1 species
UAUUCUCAACUCUUCUGUGGUUUUUUUCUUUUUUUAAUAAAAGAGAACGCAGUCGAGCUUGGAUGUGGAGGUUUUUUUGUUGGGGCUCAAACAAAUAUAUUUUUGUUUGAACGCUGACUCCUCUGAAAUGCAUUAGCUUGAACGUUUACCAAGCAUGAUUCAGCGUGAUAAUGGUCUACGCUGCUUUGUCCUGGUAUUUGAUAUGUUCUGGCUGCGAACGGUCCCUUUGGACACUGUAUCUGAAC